CGGCGAGUGGCGGACGGGUGAGUAAAGCAUAGGAAUCUACCCUAUAGUGGGGGAUAACCUGGGGAAACCUGGGCUAAUACCGCAUACGUUCUGAGGAAGAAAGUUAGGGGCAACUCUGACGCUAUGGGAUGAGCCUAUGUCUGAUUAGCUAGUUGGUUAGGUAAAGGCUGACCAAGGCUAUGAUCGGUAACUGGUCUGAGAGGACGGACAGUCACACUGGGACUGAGACACGGCCCAGACUCCUACGGGAGGCAGCAGUGGGGAAUAUUGGACAAUGGGGGCAACCCUGAUCCAGCGAUGCCGCGUGUGUGAAGAAGGCCUGCGGGUUGUAAAGCACUUUUAUUGGGGAAGAGUGAUGUGGUGGUGAAUAGCCAUUGCAUUUGACGGUACCCAAGGAAUAAGCACCGGCUAACUCUGUGCCAGCAGCCGCGGUAAUACAGAGGGUGCGAGCGUUAAUCGGAAUUACUGGGCGUAAAGGGCGCGUAGGCGGGCUAGUAAGUCAGAUGUGAAAGUCCUGGGCUUAACCUGGGGAUUGCAUUUGAAACUGCUGGUCUGGAGUGAAGUAGAGGGUGGCGGAAUUUCCGGUGUAGCGGUGAAAUGCGUAGAUAUCGGAAGGAACACCAGUGGCGAAGGCGGCCACCUGGACUUUAACUGACGCUGAGGCGCGAAAGCGUGGGGAGCGAACAGGAUUAGAUACCCUGGUAGUCCACGCUGUAAACGAUGAGAACUAGCUGUU
rnacentral:rRNA from 1 species